rnacentral:pre_miRNA from 1 species
CUACUACUCCCUCCGUUCGGAAUUACUUGUCAUAAAAAUGGAUGUAUCUACAACUAAAAUACAUCUAGAUACAUUCAUUUCUUGGACGAGUAAUUCCGAACGGAGGGAGUACUAA